rnacentral:rRNA from 1 species
GACAGAGGUGCCGAGCGUUAGGCGGAAUCACUGGGCUUAAAGCGUGUGUAGGCGGAUGGGUAAGUACCUUGUGAAAUCCCACGGCUCAACCGUGGAACUGCUCGGUAUACUGCUCGUCUUAAGCCAACUAGGAGCGACCGGAACAAACGGUGGAGCGGUGAAAUGCGUAGAUAUCGUUUGGAACGCCGAUGGUGAAAACAGGUCGCUGGGGUUGUGCUGACGCUGAGACACGAAAGCCAGGGGAGCGAACGGG